AGAGUUUGAUCCUGGCUCAGGAUGAACGCCGGCGGUGUGCCUAAUACAUGCAAGUCGUACGCACUGGCCCAACUGAUUGAUGGUGCUUGUACCUGAUUGACGUUGGAUCACCAGUGAGUGGCGGACGGGUGAGUAACACGUAGGUAACCUGCCCCGGAGCGGGGGAUAACAUUUGGAAACAGAUGCUAAUACCGCAUAACAACAAAAGCCACAUGGCUUUUGUUUGAAAGAUGGCUUUGGCUAUCACUCUGGGAUGGACCUGCGGUGCAUUAGCUAGUUGGUAAGGUAACGGCUUACCAAGGCGAUGAUGCAUAGCCGAGUUGAGAGACUGAUCGGCCACAAUGGAACUGAGACACGGUCCAUACUCCUACGGGAGGCAGCAGUAGGGAAUCUUCCACAAUGGGCGCAAGCCUGAUGGAGCAACACCGCGUGAGUGAAGAAGGGUUUCGGCUCGUAAAGCUCUGUUGUUGGAGAAGAACGUGCGUGAGAGUAACUGUUCACGCAGUGACGGUAUCCAACCAGAAAGUCACGGCUAACUACGUGCCAGCAGCCGCGGUAAUACGUAGGUGGCAAGCGUUAUCCGGAUUUAUUGGGCGUAAAGCGAGCGCAGGCGGUUGCUUAGGUCUGAUGUGAAAGCCUUCGGCUUAACCGAAGAAGUGCAUCGGAAACCGGGCGACUUGAGUGCAGAAGAGGACAGUGGAACUCCAUGUGUAGCGGUGGAAUGCGUAGAUAUAUGGAAGAACACCAGUGGCGAAGGCGGCUGUCUGGUCUGCAACUGACGCUGAGGCUCGAAAGCAUGGGUAGCGAACAGGAUUAGAUACCCUGGUAGUCCACGCCGUAAACGAUGAGUGCUAGGUGUUGGAGGGUUUCCGCCCUUCAGUGCCGGAGCUAACGCAUUAAGCACUCCGCCUGGGGAGUACGACCGCAAGGUUGAAACUCAAAGGAAUUGACGGGGGCCCGCACAAGCGGUGGAGCAUGUGGUUUAAUUCGAAGCUACGCGAAGAACCUUACCAGGUCUUGACAUCUUGCGCUAACCUUAGAGAUAAGGCGUUCCCUUCGGGGACGCAAUGACAGGUGGUGCAUGGUCGUCGUCAGCUCGUGUCGUGAGAUGUUGGGUUAAGUCCCGCAACGAGCGCAACCCUUGUUACUAGUUGCCAGCAUUAAGUUGGGCACUCUAGUGAGACUGCCGGUGACAAACCGGAGGAAGGUGGGGACGACGUCAGAUCAUCAUGCCCCUUAUGACCUGGGCUACACACGUGCUACAAUGGACGGUACAACGAGUCGCAAGCUCGCGAGAGUAAGCUAAUCUCUUAAAGCCGUUCUCAGUUCGGACUGUAGGCUGCAACUCGCCUACACGAAGUCGGAAUCGCUAGUAAUCGCGGAUCAGCAUGCCGCGGUGAAUACGUUCCCGGGCCUUGUACACACCGCCCGUCA
rnacentral:rRNA from 1 species